UAGGGAAUCUUCCGCAAUGGACGCAAGUCUGACGGAGCAACGCCGCGUGAGUGAAGAAGGAUUUCGGUUCGUAAAACUCUGUUGUUAGAGAAGAACAGCGCAUAGAGUAACUGUUAUGCGUGUGACGGUAUCUAACCAGAAAGCCACGGCUAACUACGUGCCAGCAGCCGCGGUAAUACGUAGGUGGCAAGCGUUGUCCGGAUUUAAUGGGCGUAAAGCGAGCGCAGGCGGUCAAUUAAGUCUGAUGUGAAAGCCCCCGGCUCAACCGGGGAGGGUCAUUGGAAACUGGUUGACUUGAGUGCAGAAGAGGAGAGUGGAAUUCCAUGUGUAGCGGUGAAAUGCGUAGAUAUAUGGAGGAACACCAGUGGCGAAGGCGACUCUCUGGUCUGUAACUGACGCUGAGGUUCGAAAGCGUGGGUAGCAAACAGG
rnacentral:rRNA from 1 species